rnacentral:rRNA from 1 species
AUUGAACGCUGGCGGCAGGCCUAACACAUGCAAGUCGAGCGGAUGACGGGAGCUUGCUCCUUGAUUCAGCGGCGGACGGGUGAGUAAUGCCUAGGAAUCUGCCUGGUAGUGGGGGACAACGUUUCGAAAGGAACGCUAAUACCGCAUACGUCCUACGGGAGAAAGCAGGGGACCUUCGGGCCUUGCGCUAUCAGAUGAGCCUAGGUCGGAUUAGCUAGUUGGUGGGGUAAUGGCUCACCAAGGCGACGAUCCGUAACUGGUCUGAGAGGAUGAUUAGUCACACUGGAACUGAGACACGGUCCAGACUCCUACGGGAGGCAGCAGUGGGGAAUAUUGGACAAUGGGCGAAAGCCUGAUCCAGCCAUGCCGCGUGUGUGAAGAAGGUCUUCGGAUUGUAAAGCACUUUAAGUUGGGAGGAAGGGCAGUAAGUUAAUACCUUGCUGUUUUGACGUUACCGACAGAAUAAGCACCGGCUAACUCUGUGCCAGCCGCCGCAGUAAAAC